AAUGUGUUGGCAGACAAAUGUACUUGAUUUAGGCUCAAGAUAUAAAGAUAUUUCUUUACACAUUA
rnacentral:tRNA from 1 species